CCAAGUUAUUACAGCCAGCUCUAAGAGCUAAGCAUUCAUAAUUCAUGGACUCUGUAUGACUAGAAAACAUGCAGCCUCCCAGAGAGUAACUCCUCUUUUGAGCCUCACCCCAGUUCCCAAGAGAGUGUCUGACGGGUGUUGACUGCAAGCUGCCACUGCCCACUGACGUGCCGAAUUCUGUGCUGCCUUGCUGCACUGUUAGUUAGAAGGGAUCCCUCAUGUGUUUUCCCCAUGGCCUGCACCAGACACUAGAACAGCUUCUUCAGUCUGCUGAUGAACUGAGGGGCUUGCGGUUCCUGUGCCUCUCUGUCCCGAAACUGCUCAGCUCCAGCAAGCUCUUUGGCCCACCUUUCCCUGUAAGUGAAGCCUUGCAUCACCCACAGUCCCCCUGCAAGGUGUCUCAGGAACCCCGUGUUACCCCGCCUCCUCCCAGAUCUUCCUUUCCACACUGCCUCUGGGCAUUCCGGGGGCUUCCAGUGUACACGGAGCCCUCCCUCUAGAGCCACCGGUCCCCCUGACCUUCGUGUUGUGUGUUACAAGUGACUUUAGGCUUCGGACUUUAAUGUGAGCUUGCGAUAAAGCCUUCCUCCUGUUUCUGUUAUUGUUCCGUGAGACCUUGAAGAAAGGCAGGAGAGGGGAUAAACCGUGAAAGAUGAAACUUGACUGUCAGACUCCUGCAGAGGCAGCUGAGUUAAAAGAGCAUUUCAGCUGUGACACCACAAUCCAGGGCAGAGGAACUGGAGACUGCUUCUGGAAGCCUGCGAACACAGGUCCCUCCCCUGCCUGCCACUGGUGCUCCUCCUGCCCCCUCCGACUGCAGUCCCUUGUUUCCCUGUCCACCCUGCCCCCUGCUCCUCUCCUCAGUUUACCUGCUGACCUCUCUCUUGUCCCCCCUCUGUCUCUCGCCCUUCACUACCCCGCUUCACUUCCCUCCUCCCUCGCAGAGCAUUAAUGUAUAGAUUUCACACCCGUCCUAUUUCUCAGCUACGGCUUCGCGUGUUAUUAAUAGCACUAAUAGAUGACUCGUGCUCUGAGCCUUCCCCUCCCCCUAAGAAGAUUCCGGCGUAUGUAAUUGUUUUACUUCGUGGCUUUUAAUUGAUUUUUCUCUUCCCAGGGAUCCUCAGACUCCUGUAGAAAAGUUCCUUAUUCUCUGAACCAGGGGAACUAGAACUCUGCACAGCACCCUGACAGGUCCUCACCUGGCCAUCGCCUGUGCUGCCUGCUUUCUCUUCCGCCGCACUAGCCUGAAACCUAGGGACAAGCCUCUGUCGUUAAGGCCAUCCUGCCUCUUCCCCUAAGGCUGGCCCUAAGUCCCCUUCUUUCUUUUUUUCUUCUUUUUUUUUCUUUUUUCUUUUUUUUUUUUCGGAGCUGGGGACCAAACUCAGGGCCUUGUGCUUGCUAGGCAAGCGCUCUACCACUGAGCUAAAUCCCCAACCCCAGUCCCCUUCUUUCAAACACUGGCAGAACACUUUUCUGGGUCUCCUCGGCCCGCAGGUUCCCUGCGAACUGGAUUCUGUCCAAUGUGCUGAGCUUUAGGGACUGAAGCAAGGCAUCAACUGCCUUAGCAUAUUUUCUGGACAUACGCUCGUGGUUCCCCGAGCCAUUCCUAACUAGGGCAUGAUGCCCUGUAUCCUUCCUUGCCUUCCCCCAGCUCCCUCCUAGCUGCCAGACAUAGUUUCCUGGGAUAGCCCCUUCUCACUGGAAUGCACAGAAAACACCUUUGCUAAGCACUGGGCAGCCCCAGCCUCCCAAUUCCUGUUCCCCUCUCUUCCCGUUUCCUCAAAGCGUCUCUUGUGUUUGUUGGGUACUUUCUUCAGGGUCUGCUACACAGAGCUGCUGCCCUGGUAUUGGUAAGAGAAGCCCGAGAGGAUGUGUUCAACUACCAGCAGCAUGUGGAUACUGCCCGAGCCUCUGUCUCCUCAGAACUGCUUGUUCCCAUGCGCCUGCCUCAGGAACUGGCUUGCACAGGAGCAGGCCCUGUUUGCCACUUCCUGCUUUAAAUUGAGCCUGUAAUACUGAGGUCGCUUAAGAGAACAAGUCCUCUGUGUUCAACCAAGUCGCUGCAGGGUUUUUGCAAGGUUCUGCAAACAGCAGGACUCCAUCCAGGAAGUCCUCAGAAGGGCGGUCCCGGCUUACUGAUGUCACUGGCAGAUUUACGGCUCUCACUGUGGGCAAAGGCUCAGCUCUGCCCCCUGCGGGGCUACAAGUUCAGUUCUCCAUUAGUUGGGAAAGCAGUCAGGGCUGCUUUGGAGUGGGGUCACUGUCCAGGACGCCGAUAAUGAGGCCCACCCUGGAGAGGUCGAUAGGGCUGAUAUGGCCGGCUGUCACCAGGUUGUUCUGGUUGUUGGCUCUCUCGUGUCUGUCUUUCAAAUGACCAACCAUAAAGUUUGUGAUAAAGAUGGGGAGCUAACUGGGACAAAGAACAGAUGGUGAAGAGGAAAUUGACACCACAAGGCAGAGAACAGCCCAGCAGCCCGGGCUUGCAGGGCUUCCGGACUUUUCUAUCUGCCUGUGGCCAGAAAUGUUGCAGAAGACCCAGGCUGGGGCAGGAGACUUGGGCUUUCUGAACACUGGACCAUGGGGAAUCUAGAGCUGUGUCAGGGAUCGUCUCACUACCGAUCCGUUGUAAUGAAGAGCUGCCAGCUGGUAUCUGAACAGGAAGGAGGAGGGCGGACCAGAACUUCCGGGCAGGAAGAACGGUGCAGGGGAAGGAAGCAGAAGCAGGGGGAUCCAGAGUGGACACGGACGGAACAGGUCCGCGAGGACUGAGGUUUCAGACAGUCAGUGACUUCCAAAUCAUUACAGUCUGGCCCGAACUCAUCUUUAACCAAAAUAGGAACCAUCAACAUCAACGUAUUUUUGCCAGCAAGCACUAUGAAUACCCUACAUAUGGUGUAAGAAUCCCUGCUUUAGGAUUUGAGGGACUCUUGGAGACCGACAUCUGCACCCUGAUGGGCAGUGGAAACGUUUUCCUCGCAAAAAGUUGAAACGCUUGGGGGAGUUGUUUGUUGAUGGUCAGGUGAGGUUGGUGAGUAAGGAAAACUCCAGAGCCCAGUGUGUUCAACUUUUGGAUCGUUGGUUGUACAAUGGGCAGGUGGAUAUUGUCCUGGAGAACUGGGCCCCUCCUGCUGACCAAUCCUGGCUGUAGGCACUGGUCUCGUGGGUUUGCUGAGCACUCUGCUCCAAUGUACGGGUUUUGCCAGGACUCAGAAAGCCCAGACACCAAACAGUGACCACAGCAGUGUGUGUGUGUGUGUGUGUGUGUGUGUGUGUGUGUGUGUGUGUAUGCACAAGUGUAACUCAGGACUGCCUGUAACUCCAGUUUUAGAGGGUUCAGCGCCCUCUUCUGCCCUCCAUGGACAAUGCACCCACAUGUGUUCAUGAACGCAUGCCUGAAUACACAAUGUACUUAAAAUGGUCUCUCUUGGGCUGGAGAGAUGGCUCAGUGGGUAAGAGCACUGACUGCUCUUCCAGAGGUCCUGAGUUCAAUUCCCAGCAACCACAUGGUGGCUCACAGCCAUCUGUAAUGGGAUCUGAUGCCCUCUUCUGGUGUGUCUGAAGACAGCUACAGUGUACUCACAUACAUAAAAUAAAUAAAUCUUUUAAAAUGG